rnacentral:misc_RNA from 1 species
GAUGAAGAACGUAGUGAAAUGCGAUAAGUAAUGUGAAUUGCAGAAUUCAGUGAAUCAUCGAAUCUUUGAACGCACAUUGCGCCCGCCAGUAUUCUGGCGGGCAUGCCUGUUCGAGCGUCAUUUCAACCAUCAAGCCCCCGGCUUGUGUUGGGGACCUGCGGCUGCCGCAGGCCCUGAAAACCAGUGGCGGGCUCGCUAGUCACUCCGAGCGUAGUAAUACAUCUCGCUCAGGGCGUGCUGCGGGUUCCGGCCGUUAAAAAGCCUUAUUUACCCAAGGUUGACCUCGGAUCAGGUAGGAAGACCCGCUGAACUUAAGCAUAUCAAAAGCGGAGA